GAUGAACGCUAGCGGCAGGCCUAAUACAUGCAAGUCGAACGGUAACAUGAGUAGCAAUACUUGAUGACGAGUGGCGCACGGGUGCGUAACGCGUAUGCAAUCUACCUUUAACUGGUGAAUAGCCCGAAGAAAUUCGGAUUAAUACACCAUAGUAUAUUGAGGAGGCAUCUCCUUAAUAUUAAAACUCCGGUGAUUAAAGAUGAGCAUGCGUGACAUUAGCUAGUUGGUGAGGUAACGGCUCACCAAGGCAACGAUGUCUAGGGGAUCUGAGAGGAUUAACCCCCACACCGGUACUGAGACAGGGACCAGACUACGACGGGAGGGAGCAGUAAGGAAUAUUGGACAAUGGUCGCGAGACUGAUCCAGCCAUGCCGCGUGAAGGAUGACGGCCCUAUGGGUUGUAAACUUCUUUUGUACGGGAAAAAACCCUUCUACGUGUAGAGGGCUGAUUGUACCGUAAGAAUAAGGAUCGGCUAACUCCGUGCCAGCCGCCGCCGUAA
rnacentral:rRNA from 1 species